AUCCAACUGACGAGUCUCAAAUAGGACGAAACGAGCUUUCUGGAU
rnacentral:hammerhead_ribozyme from 1 species